CCUGCGGAAGGAUCAUUAAUGAAUUCACUAUGGAGUUGUUGCUGGCCUCUAGGGGCAUGUGCACGCUUCACUAGUCUUUCAACCACCUGUGAACUUUUGAUAGAUCUGUGAAGUCGUCUUUCAAGUCGUCAGACUUGGUUUGCUGGGAUUUAAACGUCUCGGUGUGACAACGCAGUCUAUUUACUUAACACACCCCAAAUGUAUGUCUACGAAUGUCAUUUAAUGGGCCUUGUGCCUAUAAACCAUAAUACAACUUUCAACAACGGAUCUCUUGGCUCUCGCAUCGAUGAAGAACGCAGCGAAAUGCGAUAAGUAAUGUGAAUUGCAGAAUUCAGUGAACCAUCGAAUCUUUGAACGCACCUUGCGCCCCUUGGUAUUCCGAGGGGCAUGCCUGUUUGAGUGUCAUUAAAUUCUCAAACUCACUUUGGUUUUUUUCCAAUUGUGAUGUUUGGAUUGUUGGGGGCUGCUGGCCUUGACAGGUCGGCUCCUCUUAAAUGCAUUAGCAGGACUUCUCAUUGCCUCUGCGCAUGAUGUGAUAAUUAUCACUCAUCAAUAGCACGCAUGAAUAGAGUCCAGCUCUCUAAUCGUCCGCAAGGACAAUUUGACAAUUUGACCUC
rnacentral:rRNA from 1 species